rnacentral:tRNA from 1 species
CGGGGUGUAGCGCAGUUGGUAGCGCGCAUGGUUCGGGACCAUGAGGCCCGGGGUUCAAGUCCCCGCACUCCGACCA